CUCGAAGAAUGACUGUUUCAGCUUUCUUUCCAGCUAAUUAGGAGGAACUGACUGAGGAUCCAAAGGAAGAAAUGGUUCCAGACACCUGUCUCAUUUUCUCCAGACACAUCUGGGAAAUGGUAUGAUUUGUGGAAUUGUGCUCAGAGGGUGAUAAAGAAGCCUUUGGUUAAAAGGUGUUUUAUCUUAGACUUGACAAAGUAAAUGACGUGGUGGUUGUCAAAUCAGCUUUCUUUUCUGAGAAGGUAAACAUCAACAGCAAAAGACAAAAUGAGACCACCCUGACCUCCUUACGUGACUGAGAGCUGCUAAUUCUAAGAGUAGCUCAGACACUGGAAAUUGCUACAGACUCUUACCAUGCAUGGCAGAAUUCUUGGAAAAUCAAAUAUGCAAGUUUCCUCCAAAUAAGAACACAUCGGUUAAUACCCAUAUAGAUGUAUAGCACACUGAGGAUGCAUUUACCUUCUAAUCCCUUAGCGUAGACAUUGACCUGCUGGACAGAUAUGUGCAAAUUUGAAUUACGGCUUGUGGUAGCAGUACUACUUCAGCAGGCAGUCUCUAUACCCACAUACCAUGGUUCUUUGGUAUGAAUAUGGGAAUGAUAAGGCAUUAAAAUCUCUGAUGAUUGUGUGGGCUUUCCAAAGCAAUGGUGACAUCCCAUAUUCAAGCACAGCUGGUGGCUUUGUGCGUACCAAGAAGGUCUGAGAAGGCUUCUGGGGAGAAUACCUCUUAAUGUGGGUGUAAGAAUCAUUCAAGUGGCAUCCUGAAUAAAAAUCAACAAAUAAUGUAACAAAGAAAAGUAUCAGGGUGAACAUGGUAUUUCUUUCCUGUUUAUUGAAUAGCUCUGAGUAGAUUGUGAUCUUGAAUGCAUCUGUUGCUUGAAAUAUGAGGUAUUUAUGCAGAAACAAUAAAUAUUUGCAUUUAUAAAUUCAGGCUGUGAUUUUUACUAAUGAGACAAAUAGCUAACUUAGGGCUUUCUUAGUCAGUAUCACAGGUAGAUGAAAUAAAAUAAAAUAGAGACUACUGGCGUUUUUACGUAUUUCAGUUAAUAUUAGUGGCAUUUGCACUAAGCAGAGAAGAACGAUUUAUUUCAAAAUGCACCUGACUAGCUGUUUUUCCUCUCCUCCCCUUUCUCUUUGAAUAGAAGA